UGUUGUUAUUGUUAAUUUGGGGUUUUGUUCACAAUAUGCAUCAGAUGCUGAAGAAAGGGGAAAACAUUAUACAAAUUACAUAUUCCACUUAAUGUUAGAAUCUAAAUUAUAUGCAUGGGGGUGGAGUUCACUUUAUCAUCUGGAAUGGUUUGGUCAAUUUCUUUCUAGUGAUUAUGGAACUCUUUGAAGAGAUUGCGUGUGGUUUCUAAACUUGAUGAAAUACACAUAAUAUCAUCUACAAACAGGAGCAUCUUUCAAAAGUCUACAUUCAUACAAUAUUCUUUUUCCUGUAUUUUGCACAAAAUGUCCUCCAUGACACAGCCAUCUCGGAAGAAUGUUUUUCCAUGUUUAUCAGAGACUUAGAGGCAGCAUCACCUGGUGAAAAGAAAAUUGGCCCAGGAAUCAGAAAAUCCAGAUUCAAGCCCCACUUCUGGAUAUACAUAGAUUCAAAUCAGGAAUGCAUUCCUUCUAAAGUCUAGCUCCAUAUUCUCCCAGGAAGAUUUUCCAUAUUCCCCCAAUGGACCACUGAUCUCUUUUAUCAUUCCUCACUUCCAUAUUCCUCUCCCUGGCUAAUCAACCUGGUCCCAGUGCAUCCAACUCCAUAAGAUUGGGACAAGGAUCAGGAAGAAGGAAUUUAACAAUGGCAGAGCUGUGACAAGUUAAUUCAACUCCUGCUGUUAAAUUAACCAGCGUUCCAGCCGAGUUAACGCGUCACCCGGUUUCAAAAGGUUAAGCUCCAAGCUUAAUCUUAUUCAUCAUUAUGAACUCUUCAAAUUGGCUGAAAUAUUUAAAAUUCAGCGAAAUGAAAGGACCGCAGGAAACAUUUAAGAGCCAACUACCCUGUCUUCAAAAAAAAUGGAGGCAUAAUCGACAAAGAUUAGGAAAGUAAGGCUACAGAAUGGGUGAAUGGAGACACUUGAGAACCAGUUUAGGGUGAUUAAUAAAAGGACAUUGAAGACAAGGACAUCUGUAUCUUCUUACUAUCUUGAAGAGAUCCGGGUGUUUGAAUGAAAGUUAAUGGAGGACUCUUAGAAGGCUUGUCCUAUCUCAUCAUAAGCAAUAGACCAAAACUGAAUGCUAAUGAAAAGAGCGUGAACAGUGACACCCACUGAGUUCCACUUUCUCUCUUGGGUUCAGGGCACAGAUGGGAGAUAGGUCACACUGUGCCCCCUCCCUUACUUGUGACUGUCUAGAAGGGAUAAUCAUAUGCUGUAUUCAGACUUCUGGGGGGAGCAGUUAUUCACACCUUGAGUCUUGAAACUAGGCACAGUAAGAACUGUUGGAUGACAACUAAUAAUUAAAAAAAAAA